CAUUAUGGGAGGGCUGUGAUGGGGUGAGGCUGUGGGUGAGCUGGUUCAUGUAAGUGGGGCCUGGUCUGGUGGAGUUCUCUGAUAAUCAGGCACAGUCUGCCAUUGAAGGAGCUAUGAUGAGGGUUCCUAGAAGCACCCCUGUUGGGUGUCCAAGGUUGCAUUUCAAGCAAGCAUGACCAGACUGGCUCCCCAAGAGAGGCCAGCAGGCAAGACAGUAUCAGAUCAGGCAUCAGGCCUCAUCCCAUGAGCAAGACUUCCCUGCUUUGUCUAGCUCUAACAGUCAUAUUGAGGCUAAAGUAUCCUGGAGAAGCAUAGUGAGCCUUGGAGGAUAGACGUCCUUGGCUGUGCUUCACUGCGGCUGUUCUCGCACCACUCUGGGCUCUGCACAGGCUGGAGUCCUGCCCAUGUGACCUCUCUUAGCAGCUUUUCCUACCAUCUCAAAUGCCCAUAGAGGUUGGGGGACCUACCAGAAUGGGUCCAUGGUGAGAGUGGGUCACUCCUCACCAGUAAACUCACCCUUUCCCCGGGAGUCUCUGAGGGUCAGGUACAAGUCCUGAGGCUCAGCCACAAUAUGCAGGGUUCCCAGCUUCCUCUCUCUUCAGCCCAGCAUCUGCAUCUUCUCUGCAUCCACUCUUAAUGUCUUCCAUCAGAAGAUCUGCUCAGAGGUGUGUUAUAGUCUUUCCAAUGUCCCGGUCUCUCAGUGGGUGAUAUUUCUCCUGGUACAUCUAGUCAGCAAUCUUGGCAAUUCUCCAAGCUUCUCUGAUAAAACAAACAAACAACAACAACAACAACAAAUAUAUAAAGUGGUUACCAUGUUUUGAGUGAGCACAUGGAUGUGAGACCUACCCACAGUAAAAUGAGAGAGCUUGGAAGCAGAUCCCCCUACAACUGAGCUUGAGAUGACUCCAGACCUGGCCAGCACCUCAAUUAUAACCUUGUCAGUAACGCUGAGACAGAACCAUUCUCAGGGUUCUGUCUCACCACCCUGAACCGCCCCAGGUGGUUACAGUCUGUGAGAAAAAUAAAUGUUUGUUGCUUCAAGCCACUAAGUUUUGGAGUAAUGUAUUACACAAGAAAGAGAUAACUAGUAUACAUCUCAUUUCUUUUCUACCAAUAUUAAAUAAUUAAUAAAAUUUCAAGUGACAAGGUAACAUAUAGGAAAAAGAGAGUAUGGCCAAACCAAGAUGUUUAAAACAAAAUUACAGUCAAGUCUCAAUUGUGUAUAAGUAAGGAAAUAGGAAGUACUAAUCUCUCCAGAGAUGAUGAUAAGAAACCUAGCUAUCUGUCCCUGGGGUCAGGAAAUAAAAAUCUAAUGUCGGGAAUCAAAGAAGAGGAAUGAAGUUAAUGUAUAGUUUAAGACUUCCCAAAUGCAGUUCACGUGAACCAAAUUCAUGGCCACGGCCCCACCUUCACCAUCUUACACCCAAUUGAGUUGUAUCACAGAAACGUCAUUGGCUCACUUGCAGACUGCUGAUUGAAAUCUGCUCUGUCG
rnacentral:lncRNA from 1 species